rnacentral:rRNA from 1 species
UUUGCUUAAAAUAAAAGGUCCAGCCUGCCCAGUGACACUGUUCAACGGCCGCGGUAUCCUAACCGUGCGAAGGUAGCGUAAUCACUUGUUCUUUAAAUGAGGACUAGUAUGAAAGGCACCACGAGAGUCAUACUGUCUCCUCUUUCCAAUCAGUUAAACUAAUCUCCCCGUGAAGAAGCGAGGAUAACUAUAUAAGACGAGAAGACCCUAUGGAGCUUUAAACGAAUAACACUUGCCCACUUACUCCUUUAAAUUUCAGAAAAAUCUAUUACCUUGGCAUCAUACUUAUAAGUUUUUGAUUGGGGUGAUCACGGAACAAAAAAUAACCUCCGCAAUGAAAGACUCUCCAUAACUAAGUCAAGAACCACAACUCUACACAUCAACAAAUUGACACCAAUUGACCCAAUUUAUUGAUCAAUGAAC